CCAUAUGUCCUCAGACUCUCCGUGCUUUCUGCCUUCUGAACAAGACGAUUCCGACUGAUCCCUACCGGGUAUUAUCCAUGUGCCUUAACCAAAGCGCAAACGAUCAUGCCAGACGCAGUUGUUCGUUUCAAUCCCUCUUUUGCCUGGACCGCCCUUUCGGGUUUUCAGUCCACCGGGAUACCCUUUUUUGCCCAAGUCGCCUUUUCAGGUUUUCGACUUGCCGGGUGUACAUUUUUUCAUUUUAUCCCUAAUUUUUGCCCGAACCUUUUCUUUCUGUUUUUUGGUUCGCCGGGAUGCCCAUUUUUGCCUGGACUAUU
rnacentral:lncRNA from 1 species